ACAUAAACCUUUUUAAGCUGUCAAGUGAUAUGUCAAAAUUGAUAUCCGAGUCAUUUAAAAUGCAUGCAAAUGUGGCGCAUCGACAAAAAAAAAACUCGAGCUCGGCGAAAGAAGGAGAUAUGUAGUGAGUAGUUGGACCAGGAGAAAGGAGAAAGGAGCAUCAGCAGGACUCAAACACGUAGCGAGCAGGACUCGCAGCACAUUUGCAUAAAUACGUUUACGUAAUGUGAAAUGUCAGCGAAAGCGUGAAGAACCUCGCAUGCCCCCGAAUAGUAGAGAAAGACUUUCUUCCCAUCGCAAAAACGCACUCAAUGCCGUUCGAAUUCGGUCUAUAUUUUUUUCCCGUCGCUCCAUUGAAAUUCAUAACACAUCUGAUGCAUAAACGCCCCCAAGCUGGCUAUGGAAAUUUCACGCAUUUUAUUAACACUGCAGGGGGCGUGGCACUGCCUGUCCCCGACAUGAGUGAAGUGGCAGUACAAAAAAAUAAACAAGAGUCGGAAAAUACAGCGGGAUGGGCACUGCAGCACGACGGGAGCUUAAUGAUGGAUUUAUUAAUUAUAAUUUUAUUUUCAUGUCGCAGGACAGAAUUACCAUCUAUUCAUGUUUCGAAUAACGAGUGAUAUUAUUUUUAGGCAAAAACUAUUUACGAGUGCUACGCUACACGACUUCAGUGGGUCGGGGCAACCUUGCCGGCGGCUUAGUUAUUUACAUUUGGCGGAGGAGGAGCAUCGCCGGGAGAGACACCUCCUGCACCUUCGGUUUUAUCUGGAAAUGUGCGCCAUUUCGUGCACCUUUCAGCGCUGCCAGGCAAAGAAGCUCCAUCAGCCGCUGAAUGCUCCUUCUUUUCCCCAUCGGACAGCAUCAAUCGCUUCCAAAAUAACCGGCAGCUGAUUGUUUUUUGCAAGGGGCUGUUAAAUUAUCUUACUGAGAGAAAUUUCCUAUAGUUUAAUAAAAUAUAAAUUUUUAAA